GAUGAACGCUGGCGGCGUGCCUAAUACAUGCAAGUCGAGCGAACAGACGAGGAGCUUGCUCCUCUGACGUUAGCGGCGGACGGGUGAGUAACACGUGGAUAACCUACCUAUAAGACUGGGAUAACUUCGGGAAACCGGAGCUAAUACCGGAUAAUAUAUUGAACCGCAUGGUUCAAUAGUGAAAGACGGUUUUGCUGUCACUUAUAGAUGGAUCCGCGCCGCAUUAGCUAGCUGGUAAGGUAACGGCUUACCAAGGCAACGAUGCGUAGCCGACCUGAGAGGGUGAUCGGCCACACUGGAACUGAGACACGGUCCAGACUCCUACGGGAGGCAGCAGUAGGGAAUCUUCCGCAAUGGGCGAAAGCCUGACGGAGCAACGCCGCGUGAGUGAUGAAGGUCUUCGGAUCGUAAAACUCUGUUAUUAGGGAAGAACAAAUGUGUAAGUAACUAUGCACGUCUUGACGGUACCUAAUCAGAAAGCCACGGCUAACUACGUG
rnacentral:rRNA from 1 species